GUCUGUGUCUGUAGAGAGAGAUGUCUCAGCUAAUGAGCGAGGUAACAUCACUCUGUGGUGCAACAUCACGCGACCAGAGCAUGAGGAGCGUGUGUGUGGUGUCACGUGGACACUCCCCUCUACAUCGGUGACCGUGAGCCUCAACAAUGCACAAUUCAAGGACUCACAAGUCUCGAGCGGUGUGCAACAACUGGGCUACGUGAUGUACGAUGGACACUUGGACCUUAGGGAUGGCUCCAGCUAUCUGACACUCUAUAACGUUACACGAGCACACGGUGGAAAUUACUCAUGUGUUAUCAACACCACCGGCUCGAGAGGAACCGCAACUGGACGUCUUUGGAUUACUUCACCCAGCACUACUGGACUUUCAGGCUGCAUCGUGUCUGCUCUGGCCUUGCUCUGUGUUUCUUUGUUCAUCCUUGGUGCCUCCAUCCUGAGUACACUGCGGUUUUUACGGCAGCAGCCGAAUAAAGUGAAGGCCCAGGAUUGUGUUGAGUGAACGGGACAGCAACAAAGAGACACCAAGGAGUAUCGACACUCGGCUGUUAGAGACCACUGACGCAAUUCAAGAAAGAUGAAUCUGACAUCAUAUCACCUUUAGGAAACAUGAUGGCCACGUUCGUUCAAAAAAUUGCCGAGUUAAACUCAGAAUAAAUGCAUUGCAAAUGUUCCCUUCUAUUUUAAUGAAUCAGUCUACGACGGAUGCUGUGCUUAAUCUCCACUGACUUGCAAAACUGCACCGUGUUCGAUCGCCCACCACAUGUCGCUUACAUUGAUUUGAAGGCAGCCUUUGACUCUGAACCAUUCACACUGUAGUCCUCCAACAUUUACCAAACAAUGCAAGAAAAUUUAUACAAUGAUUCAUGGCAGAAAACAAAAGUCUAGAACUUGGGCUCUGGACCUCCAGAAGCACCCUGUAUAAUGAACGGCAAUGCUGCCAAAGCAGUGGAAGAAUGUAUCUACCUAUCAUCUGCACACUGACCGGCAAUGGACAAUGUAAACCUGAUUUCAUGCGCCGGAUCGGACUGGCCUUAAGAAUAAUGAAUGGUCUGAACCGCAUCUUGUCCCAGAAACGUUUAAAUCU